GGUGAUCUGCCUCGCACUUCGGGAUAAGCCUGGGAAACUGGGUCUAAUACCGGAUAUGACCAUGGAAUGCAUGUUUUGUGGUGGAAAGAUUUAUCGGUGCGAGAUGGGCCCGCGGCCUAUCAGCUUGUUGGCGGGGUAACGGCCCACCAAGGCGACGACGGGUAGCCGACCUGAGAGGGUGACCGGCCACACUGGGACUGAGACACGGCCCAGACUCCUACGGGAGGCAGCAGUGGGGAAUAUUGCACAAUGGGCGAAAGCCUGAUGCAGCGACGCCGCGUGAGGGAUGACGGCCUUCGGGUUGUAAACCUCUUUCGACAGGGACGAAGCGAAAGUGACGGUACCUGUAGAAGAAGCACCGGCCAACUACGUGCCAGCAGCCGCGGUAAUACGUAGGGUGCGAGCGUUGUCCGGAAUUACUGGGCGUAAAGAGCUUG
rnacentral:rRNA from 1 species